rnacentral:rRNA from 1 species
UCCGUAGGUGAACCUGCGGAAGGAUCAUUAACAAAGUUAAUAAACUAAUAACUAACUGACUCUGAUAGUGCGGGUAUAUCCCCACUAUUCAAUUGAACUACUAUGUUUAAAACUAUAAAUCAAUUAUGGUUGAUAAAACUUUAAAUUUUCAACGAUGGAUGUCUUGGCUCCCAUAUCGAUGAAGAACGCAGCAAGAAUGCGAUAUGCAAUGUGAAUUGCAGAACCAUGAAUCAUCGGAUCUUUGAACGCGACUGGCGCUGAUCAAAUCAGCAUACUUGUUUCAGUGUGCGCAAACAACUAAACCAUAUAAAUGUGAGAGAAAUUCUCUCAUGAAGUAUAUGCUCCCUGCAGCAGUCACAUUUAUUUGUGAGCUGAAGUGGUGAAACAAUGACUUAUUUGCACCUGAAAUCAAGUAAGAUGACCCGCUGGACUUAAGCAUAUC